GUGGGGAAUAUUGGACAAUGGGCGCAAGCCUGAUCCAGCCAUGCCGCGUGAGUGAUGAAGGCCUUAGGGUUGUAAAGCUCUUUUGUCCGGGAAGAUAAUGACUGUACCGGAAGAAUAAGCCCCGGCUAACUUCGUGCCAGCAGCCGCGGUAAUACGAAGGGGGCUAGCGUUGUUCGGAAUCACUGGGCGUAAAGCGCACGUAGGCGGACCAUUAAGUCAGGGGUGAAAGCCUGGAGCUCAACUCCAGAACUGCCUUUGAUACUGAUGGUCUCGAGUAAGGAAGAGGUUGGUGGAACUGCGAGUGUAGAGGUGAAAUUCGUAGAUAUUCGCAAGAACACCGGUGGCGAAGGCGGCCAACUGGUCCAUUACUGACGCUGAGGUGCGAAAGCGUGGGGAGCAAACAGGAUUAGAAACCCUUGUAGUCC
rnacentral:rRNA from 1 species